UCUCUGGUGGUCCAGUGGUUAGGGAUCUAGGCUUUCAUUGCCAAGGACCCAGGUUCAAUCCCUGGUUGGGGAA
rnacentral:tRNA from 1 species